ensembl:snRNA U2 U2 spliceosomal RNA
CUUUAUGCUCAGUCUUUUGGCUAAGAUCUAGCAUCUGUUCUUAUCAGUUUAAUAUCUGAUACGUCCUUCAUCUGAGGACAAUAUGUUAAAUGGGUUUUAGGAGCAGGGAGAUGGGGUAGGAACUUGCUCGUCCACUCCAUGCAUUGAGCUGGAAUUGCAGGGCCUCUAGGAACAGUGCACCCCCC